AAAUUUGAGAGGGUAAAUUUUUAUUUUCUACCCUCUCAGCUUAAAAAAAGGGGAGCCACACAAUUCUUUGAAAAAUAAAAAUAUAUACACACCAACACACACAUCAACACAUACAACAAAAAAUCCGACUCUCUCUCUCUUUUCCUCUCUAUUAACGCCCUUUCUCUCCCUUCUCUACAUCACUGCCGCCAUCAGAAUAUGCCACCGAUGGCCGACAACCAAUAAAUCCACCAACAUCACACUCUUCUUCCUCUUCUCCUCUAUUCCCUCACCGCUGCCUGCUCACUGGAGGUGAUGAUCGGCAAGGCCGAUGCACUGUCGCCGCUGCUGCUCCCCUUUCCACUGCUUCUUCACCAAAUAUGACGACUAGUGAAGUCUCCAACCAUCACCAGCACCUUUCAGCUGUCACACCUCCACCGAAAACCACCAGAUCUGACUACCAACGCCGCCCUCUUCCUCUUUUUUUCCCUUUUACAGUAGCCUCUCGUCGGAGGUAGUGAUCGGCAAGCCUUGGUCGAUGCUGCCUCAUUGAAAAAAGGAUAGAUCUGGCUGUAUCUUGUAGAUAUUCGGCCCAGCGUCUCGAUGUUAAAGUGACACCACUGCUUUAUCUUAUUCUUUUGCAUCAUAACAUCAAAAAUUGAGGAGUUUACCGGUGAUAUUUGCCUGAAAACGCCGAAUCUUACCAAAACUAGAUUUUUCAUUGCCUUGUUGUCAAUAUCUUGAUCUCUUUUAGACAAUUUCAUGUCUUCGCUUGAAAUUUCACUCAAAAUAACCCGUUAUAAUCUAGAUUAGCAUUUGAUUGGAAUUUUUUUUGUCAUUUUUUGUGCCUUAGGUUCAUUAAAAAGAAUCAAACAUUCCGUCCAUUUGUUGAAAAUUUGUGAAAUAGUAAGGUACUUUUGAUAAUUCAAGAUGAAAAUAUUGUGAGAUAGCUAAAUAUUGUUGUCAAGUACUAAAUGCAUUGUGAAUAGACCGAUCUAAAUAUUUUGUUUAUUUUGCUUAAAACUGAUUAUUGAAUUUUUAUUAUAUUUUAUCAAAUUAUACAGUAGAUUUUGUCUUAAAGUAGUGAUCAUAUAAGAAUAUUUCCUAGUUCAAAGUAUUUUACUUACUAAAAUAGUAACAACCAUUUUUUGUUUCGGAUAUUCUUUAAUAUUUUACUUUUGACUUUUACUAAGAAGAACUUCUAUUUAUAAUGAUUUUU
rnacentral:lncRNA from 1 species